GGGGGCGACGUCGGAACCCAGGUGCAUGGCCAGCGCCGCCUUGAGGUCCACGCUGGCGUUGUCCGGAUAGCGGUUGACGACGGCGAUGGCCCGCUCGAUCGCCGCGUGCACGCUGGGUAGCGGGCCGUAAACGGUCUCGUUGCUGGCCAGCUUGAUCGAGCCCGGCACGUUCUUGCCGGGCACAUACACUGGCAGUCCGGCCAGUUCGGAGCGUAGACGGGCGGUCACUUCGACAGUUUAUGUCUCAACUGUGUACAGUAUGGCCGGUUCCGCGAGACCGGAAAGGGGUCGGUACCCUCAGAAAGUCCAAAAGGGAGGCGUGCCAGAGCGGCCGAAUGGGGCUCACUGCUAAUGAGUUGUCCCCCUCAAAGGGGACCGGAGGUUCAAAUCCUCUCGCCUCCGC
rnacentral:tRNA from 1 species